CGACGUAGAUUAUACUUUAGCUGCCUAAGCAGCAACAAGUACAGUCGUCCUGACUGGUAACGGUCAGUGAUUAUGAUUGGGUGAAUUGCUGGAAACCCCUUAGAGCUCUUCUUGCCACAGCGUAGUUGGAAACGACAGGCGCGAUGGCUAUGAGAAAAGAAGAGAUUGGGCAAUCAGCAGCCAAGCUCCUGUGGGGAAACCUUGGAGAAGGUUCAACGACUAGGAUAGACCAUCUAAAAGCUUGCUCAUGAUGAUGAAAUCCGUAGGUGAGCCAGUGUCCAUCAGCACUGAGGAUCCGAAGUGCCCAACCCCUUAUAUUGAGGGUGAAGAUAUAGUCUGGUCAUUUAUGAAAGUAAAUG
rnacentral:ncRNA from 1 species